UAUGACGGGUAUCCGGCCUGAGAGGGUGAACGGACACACUGGAACUGAGACACGGUCCAGACUCCUACGGGAGGCAGCAGUAGGGAAUAUUGAUCAAUGGGGGAAACCCUGAAGCAGCAACGCCGCGUGGAGGAUGAAGGUUUUAGGAUUGUAAACUCCUUUUGUUAGAGAAGAUAAUGACGGUAUCUAACGAAUAAGCACCGGCUAACUCCGUGCCAGCAGCCGCGGUAAUACGGAGGGUGCAAGCGUUACUCGGAAUCACUGGGCGUAAAGAGCGCGUAGGCGGGAUAGUCAGUCAGGUGUGAAAUCCUAUGGCUUAACCAUAGAACUGCAUUUGAAACUACUAUUCUAGAGUGUGGGAGAGGUAGGUGGAAUUCUUGGUGUAGGGGUAAAAUCCGUAGAGAUCAAGAGGAAUACUCAUUGCGAAGGCGACCUGCUGGAACAUUACUAC
rnacentral:rRNA from 1 species